rnacentral:rRNA from 1 species
AUUGAACGCUGGCGGCAUGCCCUACACAUGCAAGUCGAACGGUAACAGGUCUUCGGAUGCUGACGAGUGGCGAACGGGUGAGUAAUACAUCGGAACGUGCCUAGUAGUGGGGGAUAACUACUCGAAAGAGUGGCUAAUACCGCAUGAGAUCUACGGAUGAAAGCAGGGGAUCGCAAGACCUUGUGCUACUAGAGCGGCCGAUGGCAGAUUAGGUAGUUGGUGGGAUAAAAGCUUACCAAGCCGACGAUCUGUAGCUGGUCUGAGAGGACGAUCAGCCACACUGGGACUGAGACACGGCCCAGACUCCUACGGGAGGCAGCAGUGGGGAAUUUUGGACAAUGGGCGCAAGCCUGAUCCAGCAAUGCCGCGUGCAGGAUGAAGGCCUUCGGGUUGUAAACUGCCUUUGUACGGAACGAAAAGCCCUGGGUUAAUACCCUGGGGUCAUGACGGUACCGUAAGAAAAAGCACCGGCUAACUACGUGCCAGCAGCCGCAGUAACAC